GACGAACGCUGGCGGCGUGCUUAACACUGCAAGUCGAACGGAAAGGCCCUGCUUUUGUGGGGUGCUCGAGUGGCGAACGGGUGAGUAACACGUGAGUAACCUGCCCUUGACUUUGGGAUAACUUCAGGAAACUGGGGCUAAUACCGGAUAGGAGCUCCUGCUGCAUGGUGGGGGUUGGAAAGUUUCGGCGGUUGGGGAUGGACUCGCGGCUUAUCAGCUUGUUGGUGGGGUAGUGGCUUACCAAGGCUUUGACGGGUAGCCGGCCUGAGAGGGUGACCGGCCACAUUGGGACUGAGAUACGGCCCAGACUCCUACGGGAGGCAGCAGUGGGGAAUAUUGCACAAUGGGCGGAAGCCUGAGGCAGCAACGCCGCGUGCGGGAUGACGGCCUUCGGGUUGUAAACCGCUUUCGCCUGUGACGAAGCGUGAGUGACGGUAAUGGGUAAAGAAGCACCGGCUAACUACGUG
rnacentral:rRNA from 1 species